GUCCAACCAGGGUAACACUGUGUCCUGGCUGGUAACAUCAUAACAACAGCAGGUUGUCGUGUCAAACAGACAGCGCACGGAACGUUGUGAUCAUGAAGUGAUUUAGCGUUAGCAAAAGAAAAGAGUUUAUUUGAUGUAUGUCCGAUUAUUUC
rnacentral:lncRNA from 1 species